rnacentral:rRNA from 1 species
GAUGAACGCUGGCGGCGUGCCUAACACAUGCAAGUCGAACGGAGUUUAGCGCUGAUGAAGCUUCGGCAGAUUCUUGUUAAACUUAGUGGCGGACGGGUGAGUAACGCGUGGGUAACCUGCCUCAUACAGGGGGAUAGCAGUUGGAAACGACUGAUAACACCGCAUAAGCGCACAGGAUCGCAUGAUCCAGUGUGAAAAUAUUUAUAGGUAUGAGAUGGACCCGCGUCUGAUUAGCUAGUUGGUGAGGUAACGGCCCACCAAGGCGACGAUCAGUAGCCGGCCUGAGAGGGCGGACGGCCACAUUGGGACUGAGACACGGCCCAAACUCCUACGGGAGGCAGCAGUGGGGGAUAUUGCACAAUGGGCGAAAGCCUGAUGCAGCGACGCCGCGUGAGAGCAGGUAUUUCGGUAUGUAAAGCUCUAUCAGCAGGGAAGAAAGACCUCGUAAGAGGGGAUGACGUAC